GGCGAACGCUGGCGGCGUGCUUAACACAUGCAAGUCGAACGGUGAAGCUCCAGCUUGCUGGAGUGGAUCAGUGGCGAACGGGUGAGUAACACGUGAGCAACCUGCCCCUGACUCUGGAAUAAGCGCUGGAAACGGCGUCUAAUACUGGAUACGAGAAGGGUCCGCAUGGGCACUUUCUGGAAAGUUUUUCGGUUGGGGAUGGGCUCGCGGCCUAUCAGCUUGUUGGUGAGGUAAUGGCUCACCAAGGCGACGACGGGUAGCCGGCCUGAGAGGGCGACCGGCCACACUGGGACUGAGACACGGCCCAGACUCCUACGGGAGGCAGCAGUGGGGAAUAUUGCACAAUGGGCGAAAGCCUGAUGCAGCGACGCCGCGUGAGGGAUGACGGCCUUCGGGUUGUAAACCUCUUUCAGCAGGGAAGAAGCGAAAGUGACGGUACCUGCAGAAGAAGCACCGGCUAACUACGUG
rnacentral:rRNA from 1 species